UUGGAGGAAAAAAAAGUGUACAAGGUUUCCGUAGGUGAACCUGCGGAAGGAUCAUUA
rnacentral:rRNA from 1 species